UACAGAGGGGGCAAGCGUUGUUCGGAAUUACUGGGCGUAAAGGGCGCGUAGGCGGCCUGCUAAGUCGAACGUGAAAUCCCCGGGCUCAACCCGGGAACUGCGUCCGAUACUGGUUGGCUUGAAUUCGGGAGAGGGAUGCGGAAUUCCAGGUGUAGCGGUGAAAUGCGUAGAUAUCUGGGGGAACACCGGUGGCGAAGGCGGCAUCCUGGACCGAGAUUGACGCUGAGGCGCGAAAGCCAGGGGAGCAAACGGG
rnacentral:rRNA from 1 species